GACGAACGCUGGCGGCGUGCUUAACACAUGCAAGUCGAACGCUGAAGCCCAGCCUUUGUUGGGUGGAUGAGUGGCGAACGGGUGAGUAACACGUGAGUAACCUGCCCCCUUCUUUGGGAUAACGCCCGGAAACGGGUGCUCAUACUGGAUAUUCACUGGCCUUCGCAUGGGGGUUGGUGGUAAGGGUGUUUCUGGUGGGGGAUGGGCACGCGGCCUAUCAGCUUCCUGGUGGGGUGAUGGCCUACCAAGGCUUUGACGGGUACACGGCCUGGGCGGGUGGCCGGUCACAUAGGGACUGCGAUACGGCCGGGACUGCUACACGAGGCAGAAGUGGAGAAGAUGGAGCAAUGGGGGCAAGUGUGAUGCAGCGGCGAGGCGGGAGGAGUGGAGGCCUUCGGGUUGUGAACCUCUUUGGGUUAUGAUCAAGCCGUAACCAUGGUGGUAGUGAGGGUAGUGGGUAAAGAAGCGCCGGCUAACUACGUG
rnacentral:rRNA from 1 species